rnacentral:rRNA from 1 species
GAGGCAGCAGUGGGGAAUAUUGCACAAUGGGCGCAAGCCUGAUGCAGCCAUGCCGCGUGUGUGAAGAAGGCCUUCGGGUUGUAAAGCACUUUCAGCGGGGAGGAAGGCGGUGAGGUUAAUAACCUCAUCGAUUGACGUUACCCGCAGAAGAAGCACCGGCUAACUCCGUGCCAGCAGCCGCGGUAAUAAGGAGGGUGCAAGCGUUAAUCGGAAUUACUGGGCGUAAAGCGCACGCAGGC